GACGAACGCUGGCGGCGUGCCUAAUACAUGCAAGUAGAACGCUGAAGGAGGAGCUUGCUUCUCUGGAUGAGUUGCGAACGGGUGAGUAACGCGUAGGUAACCUGCCUGGUAGCGGGGGAUAACUAUUGGAAACGAUAGCUAAUACCGCAUAACAGUAGAUGUUGCAUGACAUUUGCUUAAAAGGUGCAAUUGCAUCACUACCAGAUGGACCUGCGUUGUAUUAGCUAGUUGGUGGGGUAACGGCUCACCAAGGCGACGAUACAUAGCCGACCUGAGAGGGUGAUCGGCCACACUGGGACUGAGACACGGCCCAGACUCCUACGGGAGGCAGCAGUAGGGAAUCUUCGGCAAUGGACGGAAGUCUGACCGAGCAACGCCGCGUGAGUGAAGAAGGUUUUCGGAUCGUAAAGCUCUGUUGUAAGAGAAGAACGAGUGUGAGAGUGGAAAGUUCACA
rnacentral:rRNA from 1 species